rnacentral:rRNA from 1 species
GAUGAACGCUGGCGGCGUGCCUAAUACAUGCAAGUCGAACGCAUAGCGAAAGCUUCUUCCACCUUUCAAGGGCGUGGCGAACGGUUAAGCAACACGAUGACCACCUGCCUCAAGGCUGAGGACCACAAUUGGGCACAGAUACUAAUACCGAACAAAACUUAGUGUCGCAUGAUACAAAGAUCAAAGGCGCUCCGGUGUCCCUUAGAGGUGGAUCCGGGUUGGAUUAGUUAGUUGGUGGGGUAACGGCCUACCAAGACUAUGAUGCAUAGCCGAGCUGAGAGGAUGAUCGGCCACAUUGGAACUGAGACACGGUCCAAACUCCUACGGGAGGCUGCAGUAGGGAAUCUUCGACAAUGGGCGAAAGCCUGAUGGAGCCAUGCCGCGUGUGUGAAGAAGGCUUUCGGGUCGUAAAGCACUGUUGUUUGGGAAGAACAGCAGGAAGAGGAUAUGAUUCUGGUUUGACGGUACCAAACGAGAAAGCAACGGCUAACUACGUG